rnacentral:rRNA from 1 species
CAGUAGCCGCGGUAACACGAAGGGUGCAAGCGUUAAUCGGAAUUACUGGGCGUAAAGCGUGCGUAGGCGGUGAGUUAAGUCUGCUGUGAAAUCCCCGGGCUCAACUUGGGAAUGGCAGUGGAUACUGGCAAGCUAGAGUGUGUCAGAGGAUGGUGGAAUUCCCGGUGUAGCGGUGAAGUGCGUAGAGAUCGGGAGGAACAUCAGUGGCGAAGGCGGCCAUCUGGGACAACACUGACGCUGAGGCACGAAAGCGUGGGGAGCAAACAGGAUUAGAUACCCCAGUAGUCCCUGUCUCUUAUAC